GCCAGCUCGUCACCUCCGGAGACAGUCCUCAUCCCUCGGGAAAGGCAGGCUGUCCUUCUGCUCUGGCACGCUGCUCGCAGCCUCGGCUGCUGGCAUUCCUUAAGCCACAUAAAGUUAAAGACUCGUUGUCCUGGGACACACACCCCUGCAUCAGCAGAGCACAGGCUGUUACAAAUGCAGAUGUUUUCCUCUGCAUGUCCCGGAAGGCACAGUUCAACAGUUUCCUUUCACUGAAACUGAUUAACAACAACUAAAUCAACCAGGUUUUCAGGGCCCAGCAACCUACCUGGGCCAUUCCACAAUGGCCAGGGGAGAUCCCUGCCCAAGGUGAGAGGUAGCCUUUUGGGGUUGCAGGGAUUUUCCCGCUGUCCAAUAUUGUUAGAAAGAGCCCAGGAGCAUUUAAAUAACCUGUUGUCAGGCACCCAGGAUGCCAAGAUUAGGGAAUGCACAAGCCCCCUGAUGGCACCCACCUCCUGUGGCUCCUCCAGGUGUCUGCCUAAGUAUUCGGCAUGUGACCUUCUGCCAGAAUGUAACUUCGUCACUGUCUCAGAGUCAUGUGAUCACAACUCCCCAUGCUCCCAAAUUCUCCCAAUUAGAAGUCAUUGUAAGCCAAAAUCAUCUCUGGAAGUGCUUCUCUGGGGUGUGUCUUGUCUUCUGGAGCUAAAACUCUCUUGAUGGGGAGAGAUUUGACCCAGGGCCUUAAGGGCAGCCACAGGCAUGGAGAGGGAAGAUCCCAGGGCUGAGAAGGUUUCCUGAAAAGCAGGAUAUGGCACCACAGAGAAGCACCACUGAGGCUGGCAUCCGGCCCCACAACCUCCUGUAGCCAAAUAUCCUGGUGCUGCGGGACCCCCAGCAGAGCAGUACUCAACACGGCGUUGUGAGCGCAAAGUGGGCCACGUUAGAGAUGUGCUGGUUUUUCUAGUGGAAGAAAGCUGAAGUCAUCUUAGCCCAACCUGGACAUGGGUGAUGGUUUGCACGCUCACCUGCGCCCUGGGAUAAAGUGGGAUAGCUCCCAUGGCUCCCUUCUGGGGUCUCCCCUUCCUGUCCCAUGAGCACAUGGUGGAACAGCGUGCUGGCACUGGCAGGCUGACAGAGGACAAGGAAGGGACCUGGACCUGGCCGGUCAGGACAAUGCUGGGGAAGCCCCAAGCACCCAUGCAGAUGCCUCAACCCUGGCCUGAGUUGGUGUGAUUUGUCAGCAUCCCCCUCACUAGGGGAUGGAGGGCAGGGAGACGAGGGUCGGUAUGUCACAAUUAAAGCUCACCUAAAUAAAUAAAGAGUUGGUGUUUGUGACGGUUUCUAACAGACAACUGUUCCCCUUUAAAUUAGCGAGUCUCAUUUAAAGGUUGCCCAGCACUUUCCACAUUUAGUUCCAAUCUAGUGCAUGGAAUACAAAGUUCCCACUUGAAUUUCAUUUCCCGGUUCUUUCUGCACAGACGCCUCUUUGGGUGCCCCUCUUAUGCAAGUAAAUAUGACAUCUGGUGAAGGAAACCUGCAAAGGACAGAGGCCGGGUAUUAAGGACUUGAUUUGCAUGAAUGCAGCCAUCAUUCUUUGUUCUCAUCUAGUAUGUUGAUAGGAUAUACCUCUCAAAAAUUUUGUUUUGACAGAAACAUCUUAGUGCAUGUGAGGAAGCAUUGCAUAACUUUGCAAAGUGGAAUCCUAUUACUGCCAGGUGACCAUUUCCCAGAUCACAGCCUGAAUUAGCUGGCUGGUACAUCCUGUACAUUGGGGCAUGUUUACAAAUUAAAGCUGGAUUCAGAGAGGUGUGACCACUCUGUAUCUAGAAAAUUAAUCCUGGCUCCUGGAAGCCUCACAAGCAGAAAAUGACACACAAGGGUUAAUGCAAUUUCCAUCCCAGCGAGUUUUGCUUGCCAUUAUUUUCUUUUUCUCUUCUCCCUUUUAACUGAUUCGCAGCAUAAAAUCUUCCUGGACACCUAAUUAUCAAGCCAGCUCACAGUCACAGCUGUCUGCUUGGAGAACCCAUUAGAUGUAGCAGUUGAAGCCUCCAUAAUUCCCCAAACUUCCCGGUUGUGAAUAUUAAGAAAAGAUUUUUACAUGUCAUAUGCAAUUCGAAGGUGGUGUGAAUGGCCUCGGAGAUGACGAGGCCUGAAUGCUUGUCCAUCACGCCAUUCACUGGUUACAGGUGGUCUCAUUUUCCACUCUCAGAUAUCAGCUGGCUAUGACAGCAGGCACUUAAUUUGCAUGUUCGACAGACAACAAACGGCCCCGUGCAUGUCAAAAUAGGUGGUGAUGCGUGACAGUUUCUACACAAUGCUGUCUCCUCUUUGCAUGACCUUUGACCUCUCUGCAUGUCUU